ACUGCUGUCUAGUUAGCAUUUAAUGUGAAUGCGAUGGCUCUUAAUCAUUUCGUUAUUUGAAUACCUUACUACUGGAACCUGUGGUAAUUCUAGAGCUAAUACAUGCUAAAAACCUCGACUUCGGAAGGGGUGUAUUUAUUAGAUAAAAAACCAAUGCCCUUCGGGGCUCCUUGGUGACCCAUAAUAACUUAACGAAUCGCAUGGCCUUGCGCCGGCGAUGGUUCAUUCAAAUUUCUGCCCUAUCAACUUUCGAUGGUAGGAUAGUGGCCUACCAUGGUGGCAACG
rnacentral:rRNA from 1 species